GACGAAUGCUGGCGGCGUGCUUAACACAUGCAAGUCGAACGGUAAGGCCCUUCGGGGUACACGAGUGGCGAACGGGUGAGUAACGCGUGAGUAACCUGCCCUUCACUCUGGGAUAACAGUUGGAAACGGCUGCUAAUACCGGAUAUUCAGCUCCUGUCGCAUGGUGGGGGUUGGAAAGUUUUGGUGGUGGAGGAUGGGCUCGCGUCCUAUCAGCUUGUUGGUGGGGUGAUGGCCUACCAAGGCGUCGACGGGUAGCCGGCCUGAGAGGGCGACCGGCCACAUUGGGACUGAGAUACGGCCCAAACUCCUACGGGAGGCAGCAGUGGGGAAUAUUGCACAAUGGGCGGAAGCCUGAUGCAGCAACGCCGCGUGCGGGAUGACGGCCUUCGGGUUGUAAACCGCUUUCAGCAGGGACGAAGCGCAAGUGACGGUACCUGCAGAAGAAGCACCGGCUAACUACGUG
rnacentral:rRNA from 1 species